rfam:Zootermopsis nevadensis contig13568, whole genome shotgun sequence.
GCCACGGUGGUCUAGCGGUUAGAACGCUGGCCUUGUAAUCCUGGGUCUCGGGUUCGAUUCCCGGCGGUGCCC